GCAGCGCCUUUUGUUCAAGUUAAUAAAGACUAUGCAGAGAGGCAUCCCAGGGAAUAAAUGCCCUGAACUUUCUUCCUCUAGUCUCUCACUGAUGUGCUCCAAUAUCCAAACCAAACUGGAAAAACUAGAGAGCAGAGAAGCUUGAAGAAGUGGCCUAUACUAGGCAGCCUCUUGGGACUCAGGAUGCAAAUUGGAGAGAAGAUCUGGAAGGACAAGCCGAAGAUACUUAGCACAAUCACCCAGAAGGAAUGCAGGCUUGUUGGGACUAGCAACAGGGAGACAUCAAUAUUAAAAAGCCACCUCAAAAAUUGUCCUGGACUUUUAAUAAUAUUGAAGAAAAAGAGGGAUUAGUUCUAGAUGUUAAAGAAGUUACAAUUGGUGGGUCCCAUGGACUUUCUAUCUCCACAGGGAAGAAAUUUAAAAUGAAAAGAAACAAAAUACUUUCACAUUCUGGAGAUUUACUUGAUGACUUUCUUUAAUUACAGUCAAUUCCUUAUUCAAGAGGACUUAUAUUUCCAAUCCCACAUCCUUUCUUUCUCUCAAGGAGAACACUCAUACUGUUGUUUCCACAACUGCAAAUAUUAGAUGGUUUCAAAUUAUUGCUUUAUCAUUAUUUUUUCAAGUCAUUCUUUCAUGUGAAUACCUAAUUCAGAAUCUCUCUACGUGUUAAUAUCCCGAUUUAUGGGAGAGAUCAGUGGUCAUAAGGUUGUUUUGAGAAUUCAAUGAGUUAAGCAGAAGUAAAGAAGUUAGAAUUCUCCAUGGAACAGAAUAAAAUUUAAUCUAUGUCUCCCA
rnacentral:lncRNA from 1 species